CAAUAGCGUAUAUUAAAGUUGUUGCGGUUAAAAAGCUCGUAGUUGGAUUUCUGCUGAGGACGACCGGUCCGCCCUCUGGGUGAGUAUCUGGCUCGGCCUGGGCAUCUUCUUGGAGAACGUAGCUGCACUUGAUUGUGUGGUGCGGUAUCCAAGACCUUUACUUUGAGGAAAUUAGAGUGUUUCAAGCAGGCACACGCCUUGAAUACAUUAGCAUGGAAUAAUAAGAUAGGACCUUGGUUCUAUUUUGUUGGUUUCUAGAGCUGAGGUAAUGAUUAAUAGGGAUAGUUGGGGGCAUUCGUAUUUAACUGUCAGAGGUGAAAUUCUUGGAUUUGUUAAAGACGGACUACUGCGAANGNAUUUGCNAAGGAUGUUUNCAUUG
rnacentral:rRNA from 1 species